GAUAGGUUGGUGUAAUCAGUUAGCACACUUACUGCAAAUAUAAGAGGUGUGGAUUCAAUUCCCACACAUACUA
rnacentral:tRNA from 1 species